rnacentral:rRNA from 1 species
GCUAGCGGCAGGCCUAACACAUGCAAGUCGAACGGUAACAGGGAUUGCUUGCAAUCCGCUGACGAGUGGCGCACGGGUGCGUAACGCGUAUAGAACCUACCCUUUACAGGGGGAUAGCCCGGAGAAAUCCGGAUUAAUACCCCAUAGUAAUACUUCAGGGCAUCCUGAAGUUUUUAAAGUUUCGACGGUAAAGGAUGGCUAUGCGUCUUAUUAGCUAGUAGGCGAGGUAACGGCUCACCUAGGCAACGAUAAGUAGGGGCCCUGAGAGGGGGAUCCCCCACACUGGUACUGAGACACGGACCAGACUCCUACGGGAGGCAGCAGUGAGGAAUAUUGGACAAUGGUCGAGAGACUGAUCCAGCCAUGCCGCGUGCAGGAAGACGGCCCUACGGGUUGUAAACUGCUUUUUUACGGGAAGAAUAAUACCCACGUGUGGGUAGAUGAC